rnacentral:misc_RNA from 1 species
GGUUGGUGUGGAAGGAGGGAGGGAGAUGGUUGCUUGGUCUUAGAUGAAGUAUUGACCUGGAAGAGCAAAAGGGAUAUCCAAGACAUGCCAGCUUGUGAUGUGAAUUUUCAAGCAUGAGUGAGGCAGGGAGAUUUUUGUUUGGUCUUAGAUGAAGAGAGUUGACCUGGAAGAGCAAAAGGGAAAUCCAAAACAUGCCAGGUUGUGACAUGAAGUUUUGUGUAUGUGUGAGCAGCAUGCCUUUUUAACUCGUCAUUUAUAAAUAGUGUACCCUAAUCCAAUAAUGAAUAUUUGUCUUGGAUAAA